CAAGGCUGUUUAUUUUACAUAGCAAGUCAUUUUGUGGAAAACCGCGGUUUUCAUGCGGAUAAUAAGAAGGAAUUUGCUUUAAUUGACAACGAAAGAGCACACCACAAAUGAUGCUGGUUUUCAAGGAUUCCAGGGAUCAAACAAAUAUCUACAAUAAUAUAGAUGAUCUUUCAGUUGAUCUCUCAGACAAGAUAGGUUUAAAGAGCAAGAUAAGAAAAUCAGCCAAUAACGAACAACAAGAAUCAUACCUAAAGAAGUAAAAAAAAUGAACGCACACAAAAAAUAUGUAAUAACUGCUGCGGUGUCAGACCAUGAACCACUUUACUCGCGCGCCAUCUACUCUCUGGUAUGUAUGUAACUUAGUUACAACAGCUUCUGACUUUCACAGUUUUAUGAUAUCCUGCCCUAAACACAAGCAACAUUAAAAGAAAUAAAUGAAUGCAAUUUAGUAUCUAUUUUUAAUUCAACUAGUAUGGCGCAUAACAAUUCAAUAAAGAUAAUUAAUUCAAAAGGCCAAAAUGGGAGAAGAUAUAUUUUUUUAUCAGCGCCUUUUGACUGUAUUUAGCACCGAGGGAAGCCAGGAAAAAGGUCUCGUCCGCCAGGAAUAAAACCCCGAAAUUAUUCAGGAGUUAUUGUGCCCGCUGUUUUGUUAAAGUCGAGAUAAGUCACUCAAUGUCCCUCCUCACUCCCUGGUCUCAUAGCAGAGGGUUAAAAGGGUCAACGGUUUAUUUCUUUUAGCAGUUCAUGCCAGACUGGGGAAGCUUAUUUAAAUAAGAGAUAUGAUCUGAAAAUGUGUUUAUUAUUGCGGAUUUUUGUUUAUGUCGGGGAAUAAAAAAAGGGUUGUUUCGUUUUGUUUGCAAGUGAUUUAUUAAUGCGGUAGAGGUUGAUUAAAUGCCAUUUAAAAUU